rnacentral:rRNA from 1 species
UCUAAAACGAUACAUGCAAGCCAGCAGCAACACAGUGAGUAAUAAUCCCCGGCUACUCUUUAAAGAACUAGCCUAACAAAACAAGGUAUCAGAAAAUCUCAUCAAUUCUUCAACACCUAGCCAACCACAUCUGCAGUACCCAACAUUAUACAAUAAGCAAAAGCUUGAUAUAGUUAUAGACUUAAGAGUUGGUUAAUUAUGUGCCAGCCACCGCGGUUAUACAUAAAACUCAAACCAAGAAAACCAUCGGUCUAAAGGUGACUAGAGAUAAAUUCAUUUAGGGUAGAAAAAAACUCCAGUAUUAACAAGCUUUUACAGUAAACUAAUUACAACUACAAUGUUACCCUAAACUCUUUCAACUCAAGACACCAAAGCUCAAAAAUAAACUGGGAUUAGAUACCCCACUAUAUGAGCCGUAAAAAAUCAAUAACACCAGAGAACUACGAAUUAAAGUUUAAAACUCAAAGGACUUGGCGGUUUUUUAGAUCUCCCUGGAGGAGCUUGCUAUCCAACCGAUAACCCACGAAAAACCUUACCAGC